UCCCCGGUAGCUCAAUGGUAGAGCAAUUCGCUGUUAACGAAAAGGUUGUCCGUUCGAGUCGGACCCGGGGAGCCA
rnacentral:tRNA from 3 species